GAGCAGGCUCUCUUUUGCUACCUCCGCGUUGGAGAUUGCCAGCGUCCGUUCCCGCAGGGUGAGCUGUGUCGUAUCCCUAUGUGCCUGCUCUCUUGCAACACACUCACACACUCUCAAACUCUCUUUUGCUGAAAUAAUUAUGGCUUCGGGUUGUGAGGAUGGGCUCAGCAAAACCCGAUUAGGGUGACCUAGCGGAACAGUCCGCCGCAGUCACGAGCCACCUCGUGCACACUGUGUAGGCAACUCCCGCUGCUCUGCUCAGCAACAAGCUCACACGACUCAAUCGUCCGUUGUAUUGCAACAACUCUAUUGCAAAUUUCCCCAGAAGAUACACAAUUUUUCAAAAUCAAAGGGGACCAAAAGGUGGUGGGAUUAGGGUUGUGAGCCCGUAGCCAUGCAGAUUAUGUUUAUUGAUUAUUUUAUUGUGACUUACAUAUUGUGGGUGUGUGUUUUUGUACAUAAUAUAAUGACGACCUAUGCAAAUCUUGUCUAGGGUGAGUCAUGGAUGGAGCGCUACAAUUGAAUGCGCUUGGAGUCACUGACAAAUGAGACAAUUGAACCCAGGCAAUAAGUACAUUGGCAUGGAAGAAGCAUUUUCCAAUGAGGUUGUAGAAGACCAAAUGGAGUAUUCCACCCAACUAAGGUGAAACCCGGUGAGAUGUUACCAAAAGGGUAUUCUCGAAACUAUGUAGGAUUCUUAAUGAGGGAGAUCAACUAUGUUAUGAAAGUGGAUCAUAUAGUUGUUAAACAAAAAAUGGAUUUCUUAGCUAUUCCAUACUUUGACGGAGAUAAGCCUCCAAACUUUCAACUUUGAUAGUGGACAAUACCACUGCAAAUAUAAGUGUAGGAAACACUCAUGUUUGGUCGCAACUUAGGCAAAGGCUUUUUCUCAAUUAAAACAAAGAAUAAAAACAUCUUAAAAAACCUUCUAUUAGCAACUCUGUAUAUGUUACCACACAAACUUUACAUCUUCUAGAAGUAGGUCACCAACUUUGAUCCAUUUGUAGAAUAUGAUGGUUUUGCUAUGGCAUAAUUUUUUAGAUUAAAAAUUCUCACAUGGAUUACAUUGAGCCAAGUUUUCAACAAAUUCUAUUAUCAUACUGAGAAGUGGUAUAAUAUAUAAAAAUAUGUAAAAAUAUUAUGAGAAUUUAAUUUGUAAUAAAAAAUAGAAAAUAAAAUAAAAUGAAAGGAUUAAAAAAAAAAAA
rnacentral:lncRNA from 1 species